GGCCUCCCUCUGUGGGGCGAUCGAUGGUGGGACCCCCAGAUCGAUCACCCUGCAGAGGGAGGCC
rfam:Myotis lucifugus cont2.17637, whole genome shotgun sequence.